rnacentral:lncRNA from 1 species
CACACGUAUAUAUAACCUCCACUCCGCAGUUUCUGGUGUCAAAUAGUAGGUCCUGGGAUCAUUAAACGGACCGCGUUAGUAGGGUGAUACUAGCUUUUGGACGCGGUGUCCUUUUCGAUCAGUCGGCUGAUAAAAGGCAGUGUGAGAGGAUGGCAAUGUUCUCAAUGUGGUUGCUCCCGAUCUGUCUCUGGCUGGUUCUUGGCAACGCGGGUGAUCAUGUGAAUUGCGCUGAACAUCGACCAGUAGCGCAAACGCUCUCAACAGCUGUUGUAGGACCUCCACCGUCCUCCAAUCAGUGAAUCGGAUGGUUCCGUGGGAACGAAUAGCGCCAGUUCAAGGGCUUCAAGGCAUAGAGAUGGAACGAAUAAAUCACGGCAGGAAAAAAACAAAAGCAGUGGUUUUAAGAAAGUAAUUGGUAACGCAGCGACCGCUAUUAAGACGGGUGUGGCCUCCCUUGCUCAUCUAGGCAGCGGCAGCAGGGACAAGAGAAACGGUGCAUCGCGGAGUUUCGACAGGGAUGACAGCAGGAGCGAGGCCGGCAGCUUAGCGAGUCAAGAUUCAGACGUCAGCAGAUUCAUAGACCAAACCUGCACUCUACCGCACGGCCGGUUGUCCAGCGAGGAUCGACGGGCACUAAAGUCGGGGUUGCAAGAGGUGAAGGAGAGACUUUGUUCGCUUAACUCCGAGUCAGGGCUCAGCCCUGCGGCAAUAGAAGAAAUCGCUCAGAAGCUCGCCCAACUACAGAUUCAAUUCUGUCAGGAAGAGGAUUUCGCGAGAGAAUUCUUGGAAGCACAAGCUCAAGCUCAAGCUCUACGUCCGUCCUCACCUCCCCGUCCGCCUUCUCCACGUCGGCCAGCGCCAGCGCUGACACCGGAUUCACCGACAUGGGAUGAAGAGGACUUAAAGUCUGUUCAGAACAGGCUAAAGAGAUAUCACUCGGAGCACCAUGGCAUUCGAUCGCCAAAUAAAUCACCUAGGGGGUCGAAACCCGCAUCCCCUCCCAGAAGGGACGCAAAUUCGCCGCGGCCACGGUCUCCGAGGACAUCGCCAUCGCGGGCGUCAGUGUCAUCGUCUCCGAAGACAUCGCCAACGCGGGCGCCAGUGCCAUCAUCUCCGCAGUGGAGACCUGCCUCGCCGAGGAAAGGACCAGUACAACCACAGACGCCCACGAUGCCCACGAUCCAAGAUGGCGGACCGACUCCCCCUUCUGAAUCGUACACACCAUCAGCUAAUGUAAAAAUAGGUGGGAAAGGAUAG